UACGUAGGGGGCAAGCGUUGUCCGGAUUCAUUGGGCGUAAAGAGCGUGUAGGCGGCCAGGUAGGUCGGUUGUGAAAACUGGAGGCUCAACCUUCAGAGGUCGACCGAAACCAUCUGGCUAGAGUCCGGGAGAGGAGAGUGGAAUUUCUGGUGUAGCGGUGAAAUGCGCAGAUAUCAGGAAGAACACCCGUGGCGAAAGCGGCUCUCUGGAACGGUACUGACGCUGAGACGCGAAAGCGUGGGGAGCGAACAGG
rnacentral:rRNA from 1 species